CCUUCGGGGUGUAAACCUCUUUCGACCGGGACGAUAAUGACGGUACCCGAAGAAGAAGCCCCGGCUAACUACGUGCCAGCAGCCGCGGUAAUACGUAGGGGGCAAGCGUUGUUCGGAAUUACUGGGCGUAAAGGGUGCGUAGGCGGUUCUCCAAGUCUGGUGUGAAAUCUCCGGGCUCAACUCGGAGGGUGCACCGAAAACUGGCGGGCUUGAGUGUGGGAGAGGUGAGUGGAAUUCCUGGUGUAGCGGUGAAAUGCGUAGAUAUCAGGAGGAACACCUGUGGUGAAGGCGGCUCUCUGGACCAUUACUGACGCUGAGGCACGAAAGCGUGGGGAGCAAACAGGAUUAGAUACCCUGGUAGUCCACGCCCUAAACGAUG
rnacentral:rRNA from 1 species